rnacentral:misc_RNA from 1 species
CAGGGCUUAACAUCCCCUAUAAACCAUUGUGAACCUACCUAUAUUUCUUUGGCAGGCGGCCCCAGGGCGGGGCCGGUAGCCGCAAGGUGCCUGCCAGAGGACCAAAACUCGUUGUUACUGUCGUCUGAGUAUCAUACCAAAUAAGUCA